rnacentral:rRNA from 1 species
AUGGUGCCGGCCCUCGCCCUCGCCCCGAUUCGCGACCUCCUCACCUCCUUCAGCCCCUCCUCCGACUUCCUCGCCCUCUCGUCCGGCGACGGCCGCAUCAAGGUAUGGGACGCCGUGCGCGGCCACUUGCAGACGGAGUUCGCCGACAUCCCCGCAGUGGAGGUCGGGGCGCUCCCCGAGACGAAGCGCGGCCACCUCGCCCUCGACUACACCUGCAUGAAGUGGGUACAACUCUCCACCAAGAAGAAGCGGAAGGCUGGGAGUUCGCUGCUCGUGCUUGGGACGGGCAGUGGCGAUGUCCUUGCGCUCGACGUUGCUGCGGGCCACUGGAAGUGGAGGAUCAGCGAUUGUCAUCCUGGGGGUGUGACAGCAGUGGCAUACUCGAGGCAUGGGCGGAGUGUGUACACAGGAGGCGCUGAUGGCAUGGUCUGUAAGAUUGAUGCCUCAGAUGGAUCUGUUGCAGGGAAAUUUAAAUCUUCGUCGAAGGCAAUAUCUGCGUUGGCAGUUUCAUCAGAUGGAACAGUUUUGGCAACAGCAGCUGGUCAGUUGAGGACCUUUGACGCUUCUGACAACAAAAAAAUUCAAAAAUUCUCUGGGCAUCCGGUGUCUGUGAGAAACAUGAUUUUUAGUAACAAUGGCAAAUAUGUUCUGUCAUCUGGAGUUGGGGAACGCUAUGUUGCCAUUUGGAAGUUGGGCAGUGGUAAAAGUCAGAGUUCAAGCUGUAUACUCUCUAUGGAACACCCAGCAAUCUUUGUAGACUGCAUGUGUUCAGGUAAAGGAGAAAUAGAUGUGUUGGCUAUCUCUGAGGUUGGUAUCUGCUAUUUCUGGUCUGGAAAUAACAUGGAUGACUUGCGCAAUAAGAAGCCUACUAAGAUUGCCUUGUCCGAGUCCUCCCUUUCAAGAACGAAUCAGGAUUUCAUGAUAUUUGCCGCAAAACUUCAAGGAAUAGAUGGACCUAAUUCGGCUCAUGUCCUUCUGGCAUAUGGAUCCGUGGUGAAACCAUCUUUUGAUAAGCUGCUGGUUUGUUAUGGUAAGGAUGUUAAUUUGGGUGUAUCUGAAGAUGGAGUUCUCUUACCUACAGUUCAACCCACCAUGCACCAGAAAGGUCAAUCUGCUAAAACAAAAGUAACUAUCACUGCUCUAGACCGUGCGAAUGCAGAAGAUGCCAUUCUUCCUCUUCCGAAGCUUCAUACACAAGAAAAGAAAAGGAAACAUGGUGUAACAAAACCGAGUGGCGUCAAACUUGCGAUUGAUAGUGACCUUGGUACCACUUCAAGGUUGACCGAGAAAAGAGUUCCAGUGCAAAGAAUUGAAAACGACAGCAUAUGCAUUGAAGAUCUGAUGAGGAAAUAUGGCGUCAUUGAUCAGAGUCUCGUCGGCCAUCCUGACAUGGCCACUAAAAUCUUAUCAGAUAUGUUUAGUAGCAGUGGCAUAACAAUUGACGCUAAUUUACCCAGCAAGAAGAUUCGAGCACAUCUAAGAUCUUUAAAGCCUGGAGAUGCUUGCAAGCUUCUAGAGAAUUUAGUAUGUGCAUGGAGAUCAAGAUCUGGUAGCGCUGAGCUUGUUUUGCGUUGGAUAUACUGCUUACUGGUAAUUCAUGGUCGUUUUAUCCCCUUGGAGAAAUCAAGAAAACUAAUUAGCACCAUGUGUGCAGAAAGAUACACAGCAACUGAAGAUUUACUGAAGCUUUCUGGUCGUCUUCGGCUGAUAAUGGCACAGGUUUUCAUCCAUUUAUAA